UUAAGUUCAGCGGGUAGUCCCACCUGAUUCGAGGUCAAAGCUGAAAAGUGGAACACAGAUUGAAGAAUCUGCAAAACCAAGUUUGGAAGCAACCCAAAUGAGAACUGGCCAUCCCAAAAGAUGUCCUCAGCGAUCAGACUGUUAUCACGCUGAGCAGAACCAAUUCCACACCACAUGAGGAUCAGCUAAUGCUUUUAAGG
rnacentral:misc_RNA from 1 species